rnacentral:rRNA from 1 species
AUUGAACGCUGGCGGCAGGCCUAACACAUGCAAGUCGAGCGAGCGGCGGACGGGUGAGUAAUGUAUGGGGAUCUGACCGAGAGAGAAGGAUAACUACUGGAAACGGUUGCUAAUUACGCAUACUAUAGGCUGAACCGAUAUGGGAUUAGCUAGUAGGUGGGGUAAAGGCUAACCUGGGCGACGAUCUCUAGCUGGUCUGAGAGGAUGAUCAGCCACACUGGGACUGAGACACGGCCCAGACUCCGACGGGAGGCAGCAGUGGGGAAGAUUGGACAAUGGGCGCAAGCCUGAUGCAGCCAUGCCGCGGGUAUGAAGAAGGCCUUAGGGUUGUAAAGUACUUUAAGUGGGGAGGCGUUACCAGCAGAAUAAGCACCGGCUAACUCCGUGCCAGCAGCCGCGGUAAUAC